rnacentral:rRNA from 1 species
CUAGAGUUUGAUCCUGGCUCAGGACGAACGCUGGCGGCGUGCUUAACACAUGCAAGUCGAACGGAACUUUUAGUUUAGUGGCAAACGGGUGAGUAACGCGUAGGUAAUCUGCCGCAAAGUUGGGGACAACAGUUCGAAAGGACUGCUAAUACCGAAUGUUAUAACUUUUCCGCAUGGAGGAGUUAUUAAAGAUUUAUCGCUUUGCGAGGAGCCUGCGUCCGAUUAGGCAGUUGGUAGGGUAAAGGCUUACCAAACCUACGAUCGGUAACCGGUCUGAGAGGAUGAACGGUCACAUUGGAACUGAGACACGGUCCAGACUCCUACGGGAGGCAGCAGUGGGGGAUAUUCCACAAUGGGCGAAAGCCUGAUGGAGCGACGCCGCGUGAGUGAAGAAGUAUUUCGGUAUGUAAAGCUCUAUCAGCAGGGAAGAUAAUGACGGUACCUGACUAAGAAGCACCGGCUAAAUACGUGCC